ACUUACCUUAAAGUUGGCCUCAAGCUGAGGUGGAGUUUUCCAGGGCACCAUACUCUUCCUUUUAGCACACCCUCCAGGGGGCCAGGUGGGCAAGGGACAUUGCUUGGGUGGCAGGUACUCAAGGUAUUGGCAGGUCCUCUGCAGCCCUCCAAGGUCCCCCUUUGCUUUUCAGCCAGGCACACAUGGCUUUGCAGGCAUGCAUGGCCAUGCAGGCAUGCAAGGUCUGCAGGCACGCAUGGCCCAGUGAUCCUCCUUUGCUCUCCAUCCACCCAGCUCCUAGGCCACCUGCUAGGCUCCUGCAUCGCAGGAUACCAGCACACACAGAACAGGGGGCAUAUUUCUCUGUCCAUGGCCACACUCACAAAUGCCGAUUCUCUUUCUCCAGUGUGGAAUUUCAACCUGACUUUGCCUAGAAGCAGGAUUCACUUGCUGUGCACUGUUGGGGCUAGGUGCCCCUGCCCUGGGUCAGGGAUCUUCCUGCAUCUCCAGCAGCCAACUGAAAGGUCUCUGUCCAUGGCAGAAAGCAUUAUUUAAUUGGGAUGAUGGCAUUUGGAAAACCCCUGGUUAUGGAUUGGUUUGCAGAGGCUGUCAUGUGAACAGCUGAGAGGCCAGGUCACUUCUCCAUGCAACUUACAGGACUCCUGACAAGGUAUGUUUAUUGUGAGUCUUUUAAGUGCAUCAUCAAGAAAUCUGUGGUGAUGUGAAAUAUGCCUCUUGUGCAAUGAAGGGCAUUCUCAGAACUGGCAUUUUUUUCAGAACAUCCUGCCCUUUUACUGAACACAAGUUACAAGCUUCAAAGCAAGAGUGUCUGUCCUCACUGGGUUCUGAGCUUCCAGCUCCAUGUCCUGCAUAGGAUGAUGAGGGAGGCCCUCUCAGCACCAGAACCUCCGAGUGCUUUGUCAUUUCACCCCAUCCCUCAAGCAUUCUACUUGAUUUUUCUGGGAGGAAGUUAGAGAAAACUGGAUUGAAAUCUCACCUGAGGGCCAUCUGUGGGCAGAAGAGCCAGGGGAGAGGACAUGAACUGGUCAAAUAAUUCAACCUGUGUUGUAGAUGAUCAUCCCCUGGCCUCCAGACAACUCGCUAGAUGGUGUCAUAUUUACCACAUGAUCAAGUUUGUCUAGAUGCUUCAUACUGUUAGAACAUCUUACAUAAUAGCCACUGUUGGCAGCUCCCUCUCCCAGGGCCCAGAGCAAAUUUGGGAAGUAAUUGGCUCACUUACAUAAAAUUCUCUUUCCAUGUUGUUGUGAGGCAGAACAGCUUUGUUCAGAUUCUGCCAGCUUCUCUCCUAUGGGCCGUCCCCUUUUGUAGUUGUACUGGACCACAAAGCACCAGGUUUGGUGACCGGCUGUGGAUCAGUUGAGUUAGUUGGUCACACAGACAUACGGACCUUGGGGUGAGGGAGAGACUUGACCAUGUUCACAGUGUGAUGAGCUGUGUUCUGUCUCACAAUAUCCAUAUGUUGGGUCCUGACCCCAGCACCCAACUGUGACUGUAUUUAGGGAGGGGGCAUUUAAAGAGGUGAUGAAGGUAAAUUGAGGUCACUAGGGUGGACACUGACCCCAUACAAACAGUGUCCUUAAGGAAGAGGAGGUGAGGACACAGACACACAGAGAGGCAGAACCCUGUGAGGACACAGGGAGGAGAUGGCAUUUUACAUGCCAAGAAGAGAGAGCUCAGAAGGGGCCAGUGCUGCACACACCUGGGUCUCAGAUUCUAGGCUCCAGGACUAUGGGAAAUGCUAUCUAUAGUUUAAGCCACCCUGGCUGUGGUGUUUUGUUUCAGCAGCCUGAGCUGACUCAUACUCAUAACCUGAUCCAGGGUCUCCCAUAGCCCACCCAAGUGGGACACCUGCUCUUCCCUGUCUCUGGGGCCCUGGCUUCCUCCCUUUGUGUUUAGUUUUUUCAGACUCAUGUCUCAUGGAAUAGACUCACUUAGGAGAGUGAGACUCCUGCUUCAUGGUCAAUUUGAGCUUGACGAGGAUCUACCUGCAGAAAUGCUGGAGUUCUGUGCAGGUUAACCACACACUGACCACAGCUCUGAUCACUCUGGGGUUGUGUCUCCCCCUCCAGGGUUUUUGCAACAGUCAAUGACAUGAUGAGUUCCCAGUGCAUCUGGUGCAAAGUGGGGCCCAGAAAUGGUAACUCCUACCAUCCUGGCCCUGGUCCAGCCCAGACUUUGCUUUCCUGCUGGUUUACGUCUCCCCAGAUUGUCCAUUUUUGGACCUUUGUGUUAAGUGCAGUUCAGGUCCAUUGACAGCU
rnacentral:lncRNA from 9 species